rnacentral:lncRNA from 1 species
UAUAUUUGACCAAGAUUUUAAGUACCUAUCGGCAUGGACCGUAUCCACCGUGUCGUACCGUAUCAAUAAAAUACCGACAUCGAUAUAAACUCCGUACAAAUAGCACAGCUCAAAACUCUCUAUUCUUCAAAUUAAUAAUCUCAAUAAAAUUCAAAAAAUAUGAUAAAAAGAUAUAAUAAAUAGUUAGAAUAUUUUGGUGUUAAAUAAAAUAAAUAUUUCAUACUAUUAUGUGUCAGUAUACAAGAAUUUUUUGACCGGAAAACAUCGGCAUGGCUCUGCACGCACCGUGUCGUACCGUACUGGUAAAUUUUCGGUACGAUCCCGUACCACGGCACUUAAUUAAAUCCUUAUAUU